rnacentral:rRNA from 1 species
UACGUAGGGGGCAAGCGUUGUCCGGAAUUAUUGGGCGUAAAGAGCGUGUAGGCGGUCCGGUAAGUCCGCUGUGAAAGUCCAGGGCUCAACCCUGGAAUGCCGGUGGAUACUGCCGGGCUAGAGUCCGGAAGAGGCGAGUGGAAUUCCUGGUGGUAGCGGUGAAAUGCGCAGAUAUCAGGAGGAACACCGAUGGCGAAGGCAGCUCGCUGGGACGGUACUGACGCUGAGACGCGAAAGCGUGGGGAGCAAACAGG